rnacentral:rRNA from 1 species
AAAUUGAAGAGUUUGAUCAUGGCUCAGAUUGAACGCUGGCGGCAGGCCUAACACAUGCAAGUCGAGCGGUAGCACAGAGAGCUUGCUCUCGGGUGACGAGCGGCGGACGGGUGAGUAAUGUCUGGGAAACUGCCUGAUGGAGGGGGAUAACUACUGGAAACGGUAGCUAAUACCGCAUAAUGUCUCAAGACCAAAGUGGGGGACCUUCGGGCCUCAUGCCAUCAGAUGUGCCCAGAUGGGAUUAGCUAGUAGGUGGGGUAAUGGCUCACCUAGGCGACGAUCCCUAGCUGGUCUGAGAGGAUGACCAGCCACACUGGAACUGAGACACGGUCCAGACUCCUACGGGAGGCAGCAGUGGGGAAUAUUGCACAAUGGGCGCAAGCCUGAUGCAGCCAUGCCGCGUGUGUGAAGAAGGCCUUCGGGUUGUAAAGCACUUUCAGCGGGGAGGAAGGCGGUGAGGUUAAUAACCUCACCGAUUGACGUUACCCGCAGAAGAAGCACCGGCUAACUCCGUGCCAGCAGCCGCGGUAAUACGGAGGGUGCAAGCGUUAAUCGGAAUUACUGGGCGUAAAGCGCACGCAGGCGGUCUGUCAAGUCGGAUGUGAAAUCCCCGGGCUUAACCUGGGAACUGCAUUCGAAACUGGCAGGCUAGAGUCUUGUAGAGGGGGGUAGAAUUCCAGGUGUAGCGGUGAAAUGCGUAGAGAUCUGGAGGAAUACCGGUGGCGAAGGCGGCCCCCUGGACAAAGACUGACGCUCAGGUGCGAAAGCGUGGGGAGCAAACAGGAUUAGAUACCCUGGUAGUCCACGCCGUAAACGAUGUCGAUUUGGAGGUUGUGCCCUUGAGGCGUGGCUUCCGGAGCUAACGCGUUAAAUCGACCGCCUGGGGAGUACGGCCGCAAGGUUAAAACUCAAAUGAAUUGACGGGGGCCCGCACAAGCGGUGGAGCAUGUGGUUUAAUUCGAUGCAACGCGAAGAACCUUACCUGGUCUUGACAUCCACAGAACUUAGCAGAGAUGCUUUGGUGCCUUCGGGAACUGUGAGACAGGUGCUGCAUGGCUGUCGUCAGCUCGUGUUGUGAAAUGUUGGGUUAAGUCCCGCAACGAGCGCAACCCUUAUCCUUUGUUGCCAGCGGUCCGGCCGGGAACUCAAAGGAGACUGCCAGUGAUAAACUGGAGGAAGGUGGGGAUGACGUCAAGUCAUCAUGGCCCUUACGACCAGGGCUACACACGUGCUACAAUGGCAUAUACAAAGAGAAGCGACCUCGCGAGAGCAAGCGGACCUCAUAAAGUAUGUCGUAGUCCGGAUUGGAGUCUGCAACUCGACUCCAUGAAGUCGGAAUCGCUAGUAAUCGUAGAUCAGAAUGCUACGGUGAAUACGUUCCCGGGCCUUGUACACACCGCCCGUCACACCAUGGGAGUGGGUUGCAAAAGAAGUAGGUAGCUUAACCUUCGGGAGGGCGCUUACCACUUUGUGAUUCAUGACUGGGGUGAAGUCGUAACAAGGUAACCGUAGGGGAACCUGCGGUUGGAUCACCUCCUUA